AGCGUACACGGUGGAUGCCCUGGCAGUCAGAGGCGAUGAAGGACGUGCUAAUCUGCGAAAAGCGCCGGUAAGGUGAUAUGAACCGUUAUAACCGGCGAUGUCCGAAUGGGGAAACCCGGUGCACUUCGGUGCAUCAUCGUUAGCUGAAUACAUAGGCUAACGAGGCGAACCGGGGGAACUGAAACAUCUAAGUACCCCGAGGAAAAGAAAUCAACCGAGAUUCCCCCAGUAGCGGCGAGCGAACGGGGAACAGCCCAGAGCCUGAAUCAGCUUGUGUGUCAGUGGAACGGUCUGGAAAGGCCGGCGAUACAGGGUGACAGCCCCGUACACGAAGGCACACAGGCUGUGAGCUCGAUGAGUAGGGCGGGACACGUGAUAUCCUGUCUGAAGAUGGGGGGACCAUCCUCCAAGGCUAAAUACUCCUGACUGACCGAUAGUGAACCAGUACCGUGAGGGAAAGGCGAAAAGAACCCCGGCGAGGGGAGUGAAACAGAACCUGAAACCGUGUACGUACAAGCAGUGGGAGCCUUCGUAAGAGGGUGACUGCGUACCUUUUGUAUAAUGGGUCAGCGACUUAUAUUCUGUAGCAAGGUUAACCGUAUAGGGGAGCCGAAGGGAAACCGAGUCUUAACCGGGCGUUAAGUUGCAGGGUAUAGACCCGAAACCCGGUGAUCUAGCCAUGGGCAGGUUGAAGGUUGGGUAACACUAACUGGAGGACCGAACCGACUAAUGUUGAAAAAUUAGCGGAUGACCUGUGGCUGGGGGUGAAAGGCCAAUCAAACCGGGAGAUAGCUGGUUCUCCCCGAAAGCUAUUUAGGUAGCGCCUCGUGAACUCAUCUCCGGGGGUAGAGCACUGUUUCGGCUAGGGGGCCAUCCCGGCUUACCAACCCGAUGCAAACUGCGAAUACCGGAGAAUGUUAUCACGGGAGACACACGGCGGGUGCUAACGUCCGUCGUGAAGAGGGAAACAACCCAGACCGCCAGCUAAGGUCCCAAAGUCAUGGUUAAGUGGGAAACGAUGUGGGAAGGCCCAGACAGCCAGGAUGUUGGCUUAGAAGCAGCCAUCAUUUAAAGAAAGCGUAAUAGCUCACUGGUCGAGUCGGCCUGCGCGGAAGAUGUAACGGGGCUAAACCAUGCACCGAAGCUGCGGCAGCGACACUAUGUGUUGUUGGGUAGGGGAGCGUUCUGUAAGCCUGCGAAGGUGUGCUGUGAGGCAUGCUGGAGGUAUCAGAAGUGCGAAUGCUGACAUAAGUAACGAUAAAGCGGGUGAAAAGCCCGCUCGCCGGAAGACCAAGGGUUCCUGUCCAACGUUAAUCGGGGCAGGGUGAGUCGACCCCUAAGGCGAGGCCGAAAGGCGUAGUCGAUGGGAAACAGGUUAAUAUUCCUGUACUUGGUGUUACUGCGAAGGGGGGACGGAGAAGGCUAUGUCGGCCGGGCGACGGUUGUCCCGGUUUAAGCGUGUAGGCUGACUUUCCAGGCAAAUCCGGAAAGUUAAGGCUGAGGCGUGAUGACGAGGCACCACGGUGCUGAAGUGACAAAUGCCCUGCUUCCAGGAAAAGCCUCUAAGCAUCAGGUAACAUCAAAUCGUACCCCAAACCGACACAGGUGGUCAGGUAGAGAAUACCAAGGCGCUUGAGAGAACUCGGGUGAAGGAACUAGGCAAAAUGGUGCCGUAACUUCGGGAGAAGGCACGCUGACAUGUAGGUGAAGCCCCUGCGGGUGGAGCUGAAGUCAGUCGAAGAUACCAGCUGGCUGCAACUGUUUAUUAAAAACACAGCACUGUGCAAACACGAAAGUGGACGUAUACGGUGUGACGCCUGCCCGGUGCCGGAAGGUUAAUUGAUGGGGUUAUCGCAAGAGAAGCUCCUGAUCGAAGCCCCGGUAAACGGCGGCCGUAACUAUAACGGUCCUAAGGUAGCGAAAUUCCUUGUCGGGUAAGUUCCGACCUGCACGAAUGGCGUAAUGAUGGCCAGGCUGUCUCCACCCGAGACUCAGUGAAAUUGAACUCGCUGUGAAGAUGCAGUGUACCCGCGGCAAGACGGAAAGACCCCGUGAACCUUUACUACAGCUUGACACUGAACAUUGAGCCUUGAUGUGUAGGAUAGGUGGGAGGCUUUGAAGCGUGGACGCCAGUCUGCGUGGAGCCGACCUUGAAAUACCACCCUUUAAUGUUUGAUGUUCUAACCUGGCGCCAUAAUCUGGCGUGGGGACAGUGUCUGGUGGGUAGUUUGACUGGGGCGGUCUCCUCCCAAAGUGUAACGGAGGAGCACGAAGGUCAGCUAAUCCUGGUCGGACAUCAGGAGGUUAGUGCAAUGGCAUAAGCUGGCUUGACUGCGAGAGUGACGGCUCGAGCAGGUGCGAAAGCAGGUCAUAGUGAUCCGGUGGUUCUGUAUGGAAGGGCCAUCGCUCAACGGAUAAAAGGUACUCCGGGGAUAACAGGCUGAUACCGCCCAAGAGUUCAUAUCGACGGCGGUGUUUGGCACCUCGAUGUCGGCUCAUCACAUCCUGGGGCUGAAGUAGGUCCCAAGGGUAUGGCUGUUCGCCAUUUAAAGUGGUACGCGAGCUGGGUUUAGAACGUCGUGAGACAGUUCGGUCCCUAUCUGCCGUGGGCGCUGGAGAAUUGAGGGGGGCUGCUCCCAGUACGAGAGGACCGGAGUGGACGCAUCACUGGUGUUCGGGUUGUCAUGCCAAUGGCACUGCCCGGUAGCUAAAUGCGGAAGAGAUAAGUGCUGAAAGCAUCUAAGCACGAAACUUGCCCCGAGAUGAGUUCU
rnacentral:rRNA from 1 species